GACGAACGCUGGCGGCGUGCUUAACACAUGCAAGUCGAACGGUAAGGCCCUUCGGGGUACACGAGUGGCGAACGGGUGAGUAACACGUGGGUGAUCUGCCCUGCACUUCGGGAUAAGCCUGGGAAACUGGGUCUAAUACCGGAUAGGACCACUGCCUGCAUGGGUGGUAGUGGAAAGCUUUUGCGGUGUGGGAUGGGCCCGCGGCCUAUCAGCUUGUUGGUGGGGUGAUGGCCUACCAAGGCGACGACGGGUAGCCGGCCUGAGAGGGUGACCGGCCAAACUGGGGCUGAGAUACGGCACAGACUCCUACGGGAGGCAGCAGUGGGGAAUAUUGCACAAUGGGCGCAAGCCUGAUGCAGCGACGCCGCGUGAGGGAUGACGGCCUUCGGGUUGUAAACCUCUUUCAGCACCGACGAAGCGCAAGUGACGGUAGGUGCAGAAGAAGGACCGGCCAACUACGUGCCAGCAGCCGCCGUAA
rnacentral:rRNA from 1 species